rnacentral:lncRNA from 1 species
GUGCGCGGGCGGAUGGAUCAACGCCGCCAAGUGGGGAAAGCGCGAAUGCAGUCCCCCACUACAACAAAUUAUGCAGUCGAGUUUUCCACAUUUGGGAAUAUCACAGGGGUCAGCACAUCCGGAGUGCAAUCGAUGAGCCCCACGCUGGGAAAAACCACCUUCGUGAUCAUGGUAUCUUCCCUGCCAGAGAGAAACCAAUCAGCUUCAUUUUCAACUUCUUCUAUGACUCCAGAGGAUUCACUUUGCAUCUUGUGACAAAUGAAUAUAUUACCUGAAAAAAAAAUGACAGGAUAGAUAUUGAAGAAAUAAUUUUUUAUAGGACUCUGGAGUGAAGGGAUUAAUAUUGACCAGAGCCAAUGAGGUCAUCUCAUCCUUGAGGGGAGCAGGUGUGAGCUUCAAAUGCUUAGGGCCUCUGGAAGGAAGCUUCCCUGUUGGAGAAAUCACCAACCGGCUCAGCAUGGUCUGAAUGAGGAUGACAAAAGGAGUUGCUGCACAGGGGGAAAGCGAAGUUCCCAGGAGUAAGAUGUGCAAGAAGCGGGCAGCCUUGCAUCUCAGGGCUGAGUUCCCUCAACUGUGUGCUUGAGGGAAGUUCUCCCCUUGCAGACACACUGCUGAGUGAUAAGGAAGCACCUAGACUCCACUCUGACCAGACUUGGUUCUGAGGCCUAUGAAAUGUUGAUGGGAAGAACAGAAGCAGGAAAAUCUAUCUAUUCAAAUUUGCAAGACGUGGAAACUUUUAUUCACCUUCCUGGUUAGACUGUUCCUUUGUCAAAGUAAAGCUAAGGCCAUGGAAAAUGAGCUAUUUGAGAGUUUGUCGCUCCAAGGAAGAACAUGCUGGCCUAAUUGUCCCCCAAGUCAGGAGAGAGAAUUGUAAAAAACACUUAAACAGGCCUAAGUAAAGGUCCAGCACAUUAUUUAUUUAAGACUGAAUUAGAACUGAGUCAUUCCGACUCUGAAAAAAGAGUGUUGUUGGAUUCUUAUGUAUUUAAUGGGUCUGCCCUAUUGAAAACCAUUGUGAAGUAUGGUUUCCCAAGCAAGAAAUGACACUUUCACUGUCAGUCUUUCUAGGAGUCUGGCAGAAUCCAGGACCGGGAUUACCCUUAUUUAUGAAGCGACCUUAGACUAACAGUGGCUCUCUGGGUCUCCAGACAAUUGGCCAGGGACUCUAAAAACCAGAAACAAAGUUGAGAGAACUCCAUGCUGGUGGAGAAAAACAGCUGGCCUUUAUCACCAGAAUGUGCCCCAUAGAAGCAGCAAAGCAGCAAGCGACGUUCUUAAACAAGGGCCUGUGGGCCUCGUCAAGAUCUGGAGGAAUCAUCUACGACUCACUGCUGAGUGAGAGGGCUAGGCAGUGUCUUUAAGGUCCUGCCAGCUUUAACAUUGUAUGCUUUUUCUUUUGUUCAAUCUCUCACCACAACUGGAAGUGUUGCCUCAACUACACAGGAGAAAGUUUGCAGUAACUUAGAGAAAACAUUAUUUUAAUCACCAGUGUAUGUUCUCCUGCUCCCUGGACAAAUCCAUCAGCAGCGGCAACACUGACCAGGUCCAGAUUGGGGCCGCUGCGGUGGAUGUGAAUCCAUUGAAACUAGGGGUCUCCAGUGCUCCUGA